AUCAGAGCUCGUAAAAAUCUGACGAACCAAACAAGGGUGGGGUUUACGCAUUCGUGGAAAAUUUGAAUAUUUCUGCUCGAGGUUUUGAGGCGUGAUUUUGACUCAAAGUUUAGGAAAGUACACAGCAAAGUUAGUGUAAAACUUCGCUUUUAUGAAACGUUUUCGAAAUAAAAUCGUUAUACCAUGCAGAGGGAAAGGUCAGUAUUAAGUUUAGCUAUUUUUUAAACGUUUUUGAGUUGUUCUUGUUAAUUUAUUGCUGUUUUUUAAAACACGCGUGUCUAUAUUCAUUGUAGUACGUAUUUAAUUCCCGUUCAAGCGCUUCGUUUCAGUACUCAGUGGCUUUAAUUUCUCACUGUCCCUCCCUAAUUUCCUAGCAGAAAUGUUCAGAAAUACCCCCAGCUUUGAUUCAUUUAACUCAUAUUUAGUCUACCUGCAAUUUCAGGGCGAACAUUUGAAGAGAAAGUGAACUAAUUUAAGUCGCCGACAUUGUCGAAAUGCCGAAGCACUUGGUAAGCAUAAUGUCCAUUAAUAAAGGCGUUCCCUUCUUGUUGUUUGUUUGUUUCUCGUUUUUAAGCUUCCCCAGUACACCUAGAACGUCUUCUAGCAUUGCUUUGUAGCCUUAUAUGAACACUCCGAGUCAAGUUUAGUUACAAUAUUGGUGAAACUUUUGUCCAUACCGAGCGAAUUGCAGACUUUACUUUAGGCAAGGUCAAUUUCACAUACAGGCGUGGUAUAUUAUUUUAGAACAUUUUAGCUUUUACAAACUAGUCGUUUAUGUACAAAUUGUUCUCUGAGACGGAAAGCUAAGCUUUUUGAGUUUUUCGAGGUUGUCGAAGUCGAAUUUCAUCUAAUAUUUUUACGAAAUUUCGAGACGAAAUGUCCUCGUGGUUCAUGCCCUAAUUUUAUGCAUAGAUGUACGCAUUCUUUAAAAUUAAAAUAUACAUUGAAUAGCUCUUCGUUGUUUUGAAACUAAAAAUUCAUUGUCCAAUUUUUUAGACUGCCUGAAAGUCGAACAUUUCAAAGGCAAACAGUACAGGAAGGCUUCUGAACAGAUUUGAAGAGGCGCUCGCCCAGCAGUCGAAACAAAACGAGAAAGACGAGAAGGCAAAGGACAAAUGAGACCAACCGCCAGCUCGAUUCCUUUGCGAACCCACAGCAUUGUCAGAUUUCGUUCGUGCAAAGUUUGGAAGAGAUAACCACUCAUCCAGGGACUGUAACGAAGGCACAUAAUAACAUACUCGAACAUGCAGUUUGUGCCAACGUAGAUAGUGAUAAUGACACCAAAAAGCUGUAGAUGAUCAUUGAUCACUGAUCAUCAUUAGAUUUCGCUCAACCAACCAAUUGCGAAGACAUACGAAGCGUCGUUAAAGAUGUUGUACAUUUCGGGAUUCUCGUUGUGCGUGUUCGAAAGUACGUGGGACGCCACCUUGAAGACGCCCAAAUGCACAAAACAAAUUAAAUUAGAAUGUGGCACAUUUUCCUUAAUUUCGCAAUUUAUUCAAAUUUUCUGCAUUUCUUGGUAUUUGUGAAAAGCUCUAAACGAAAUCGAAAUGUUUGAAAUUCGGAAGUUUCUAUCUGGGAGUUUGUUUAUUUGAAAGAUAUUUGAAAUGAAAUUUUGAAGUUUACAUCAUUUUGGUAUUUGGGUUAAACGCUAGGUAAAAUCAUGCCAGAUGAGUGGUUGACCAUUCGUCGACGUUGGGUGAUAUUUCGACUCGGACUUUCCCGACCUCACAGUCAAGUUGUUCGGAUCGAUUGUCGUGAUCAACUAGCACAGGUGCAAGGUCUGCCCAACCUUACAUCAGUGCUUUUUGUUCGUGGCAUGAGAUUGGGACAGCUCGCCUGUAGGCCUGGAAAGAUCAAGCCGAAGUACCACCAAACUUUGAUUUGUUGCCGGCUUUUUGUCUGUAUGGCUUUAUCCAGCGUUUUUCCGUUAUCACCUUGAUGCAGACUUUGGGAUUUUGGCUUGAAUAUCUUUAAUAUAGACAUUCUUUGAGGUUUAAUCUUUCAAGAAUUUCAUGGUUUUUGACUAGUUAAUGUGUUUCUCGCAGAUACUAUAAUUGUAUUAAAAUAUUGACAAAAAAAACUAAAACUGACCAAAACAUCAUUUGAGGUGUCGGAUGGGAGGGUCCAGUGGGCGUCGUAGCGGAUCAAUGGAUAAAUACGGAUAACUGUGACACUGUGUACUAUUGGAGAUGUUGUGAACAUUUAUGGAUAAUUGUGAACAUUAAUGGAUUACAACGAACACUAGAUUAUUAUGAACAUUUGUGGAUAAAAUGUACUUCGCGAUCGACGGUUACCUACCAAUGUACCUUGACAACGAAAGCUACACGACGGCAACGAGAUGACUGCCUCAAGGUUAGAGGGUUUAGUCUGAUAACAAGCAGUUGUUCGCUUGUUAUCAUGCAGUAGUUAGCCUGCUAACAGGCAGUAUAUCUGUAGGAUUCAUACCCAGGAUUCUAAUUUGCAUGUGAAGUCUCUGGGUUAACCGGUUUAAAAUUCCUGGCGGUCUCUCGUUAGUAGUACAUUUGCACGCAAGAUUGAUUUUCAUUCAGAUGUUUGCAUGCUAAUACCAAUUGAGGUACAAUUUUGACCUCAGUUAAUUAGAAUUUCGACAUCGUCUGCAAUCGAAAGUCGAUCUUAAAGAGGUUAACAUUUGAGCUUUCGGUCACGUGGUUCGUUGCAUGCACUCGGUUCGGUUAUUGGUGGGUUUCAGUAAAUGUUACAGUCCAGGCAAUGGUCAACAUUAGAAAUGUUGGCACUUCCUGGAGCAAUUUAUUUGCUUCAAAUACAAGACUACUACAUAAGUGAAAAAGAAUGAACAUUAUUCUUUCACUCCAGUAACUCGUAGUGAGACCCACUAGGUAUUUGCGGUCUGUUCGUGCCAAUGUUGUUCUCUUUGUGUAAAUAUACUGCUUAUGUGUCUCCGUGUCUGUGCAUGGAUGAACGCAGUGCGCAGCUAGGUAUCCAGAAUAUAGGCAGACGAGUAAAACCGUGCCAGACUUAAAAUUUUGUUUAUAUCGGUAUGUUACGUUCACAAAUGUAUAGAAAUAUCAUGAAAUGUGUUAAGCUUUGGCUUGGGGUUAAAUCUAACCCUGUAAUCUUAACCUUAAUCCAUUACAUGAUCUGUAUGUUUGUGUACGUAAUAUAUGGGUGUUGCCAAAAUUUUGUUGAAAAGCUGGCAUAGUUUUCCUUGGGUAGGAUAACUAAACUGGGUGCAAAUUGUAUCCAUAGCUUAGAGGGUGCAAAUGGUACCCGUAAGAAGAUUGGUGGAUAUCGUCGUGGACAAGAUUUUUUUUUGAACGAUGUGGGUUGUCUCCGGGUACUCCGGUUAACACCUACAAAAAGAUCAGCUUAGGACUGUAAUGACAUAAUUAUUGUAAAUGAUAAAUAGUGCGUGGUUUCGUCGCCCGUAGUGCAUGUAUAUCGCUGGUUUCGAACGUUAGUUUUCUGCCCCGUGUUAAAUGAAAACAUUUCGCUACCAGAGAUUAGGUCCCCUCUCUGUUAUGGCCGCUCGACGAUGGAAGACAUUAACAUAAGGCAUGCAAACCUUACCCCUGUUUGUGGAAGCUCGCCAGGUGCUAUGACACACUAGGUUAAGUUAAGCUAGGGGCAUGACCGAGACUCCACAUUCAGGGGAUUCCCUUGCAGGUUUUUGAAAGGUUAUAUGCGCGCGCACUAGUUAGAAAGGUUAGACAGCUAGAAAUCAGGCGCUUUUGCUGCUUUUUGCAUGUAUACUAUAAGGCAUGUAUACUAUAAUGCAUGUAUACUAUAAGGCAUGUAUCACUAUAAUUCAAUAUCGUCAUACUUUUGCGCCAGUAACUUUCUGUAAAGUAUUUACGAAACAGGAAAAUGGAAUCUGUUUUCCUGCUGAAAAAUACUUACAGUACCAAUUCAAAGUGGAAAAAAGAACAUAUUGCGAAAAAGAGAAAAAUGAAAAAGAAAACCGCGAAGCCACUUUGAAUAUAAGCCACAAUAGUCCAAGAAUACUAGUUGCAGAAAAAAACAACAAAAAAGAAACAAUUUUCUGCCUAAAAUGUCUUGGAUUACGGGCUUAACGAUAAGAAACGUAGUUCUCGUUCCAAAGUGGAGAAUAGGCUCGUUUCUUUAGGGCGUUGCGCGCGCAUUUUAUAAAUUGUACUAUAAGUUUUCAGUUGAAAAGACCGCCAGGGAAAAUAGAGUGUUUUUAUGUGUUUGUUUGUUGACGGACAAGUAUUUUAAAAUAAAGUUUUCUUGUUUACUUGUAUUUCGGCACUUUAACUUGUUCUCAAACAUAGCCGCCGUGAGAACACUCUGCAGAUCAAGUUUAUAUAUGGUCGCAAUAGCAAUAUAGAAUGUUUGCCAUCAGUUGCAUUCCGUGUUGCCUUGCAUUGUUCAUAGAUAAGUUUGGUCGAACCAUGGAUCAUAAAAACACCAUGGUCGUGCGCAGCUAAUUAACAUAAGCGGCGCACGCGUGCUGCUCUAAUGCGGAGUACAGUCAGUGAGUGUACUCCAUCAGUGUGCAAAUAGUGACGUGUGCUCUAUAUAGUCUGGACUCGAAAAAUAAAUUAAGGUGCAUGUUGAUCAGAAUAAAGUGCGCAACGUGUCAUGCAUAUUAAUAAUAAACGCGCUCAGUUGCAUGCUUAGUAAAAUUGAGGGCAUGAAAACCAGUGCAUGCUAAUUUAAAUUGAGUGCGCGCGUUCGCCAUUUUCUUGCGCG
rnacentral:lncRNA from 1 species